rnacentral:lncRNA from 1 species
CUCAGCGUCCGGCCCGACUCUCGGCCCAGCCCAGUAUCCAGAGCCAUACUAAGACAGCCUAGCAGAUCCGCUCGAACGUACGCACGAGGAGAAUCAGAGGCCGUUAGGCAUGGAGCAGGCUGCUGAUACCCUCGUACACCCGAAUCUGUAUGUCAGAGACGCGUGUCCCAAUCAUGGAAAGGCCUUUACACGUCACCAGCAAGC